GUUUGUUUGUUUGUUCCUGAAUUUUUGACCUUUCAGAAAAAAAAUCGAAACCGCUGAUCUCAAGAGACCGAUCUGAACGGGUGAUUACCGGCUGAUUACCGGGCCGUUAACGGUGUGAGAUGUAUUACUAUCGCUAUGAGAGCGCUGAGGUCAGCUGCUGCUACAAAUACCUCAUGUUCAGCUACAACAUCAUCUUCUGGCUGGCUGGAGUCGCCUUUAUUGCAGUUGGUUUCUGGGCAUGGAGUGAAAAGGUGA